rnacentral:tRNA from 1 species
GCUCCCGUCGUUCAAUGGAUAGGACAUCUCCUUGCGGAGGAGACGAUGUCAGUUCGAUUCUGGCCGGGAGCACCA